rnacentral:rRNA from 1 species
GUCGAGAAUAAUUCACAAUGGGGGAAACCCUGAUGGUGCAACGCCGCGUGGAGGAUGAAGGUCUUCGGAUUGUAAACUCCUGUCAUCGGGGAGUAAGACCUGGCGGUAAAUAGCCGACAGGGUUGAUAGUACCCGAAGAGGAAGGGACGGCUAACUUCGUGCCAGCAGCCGCGGUAAUACGAAGGUCCCAAGCGUUGUUCGGAAUCACUGGGCGUAAAGGGAGCGUAGGCGGCGUGGUAAGUCAGAUGUGAAAUCCCGGGGCUCAACCGCGGAACUGCAUCCGAUACUGGCAUGCUUGAGGGUUGGAGAGGUAGCUGGAAUUCUCGGUGUAGCAGUGAAAUGCGUGGAUAUCGAGAGGAACACUCGUGGCGAAGGCGAGCUACUGGACAACAUCUGACGCUGAGGCUCGAAGGCCAGGGGAGCAAAAGGGAUUAGAUACCCUGGUAGUCC